rnacentral:rRNA from 1 species
AGGACGAACGCUGGCGGCGUGCUUAACACAUGCAAGUCGAACGGUGACCUUGGAGCUUGCUCCAGGCGAUCAGUGGCGAACGGGUGAGUAACACGUGAGUAACCUGCCCCUCACUCUGGGAUAACCCCGGGAAACCGGAGCUAAUACCGGAUACGACUCAAGUAGGCAUCUACAUUGAGUGGAAAGUUUUUCGGUGAGGGAUGGACUCGCGGCCUAUCAGCUUGUUGGUGAGGUAAUGGCUCACCAAGGCGACGACGGGUAGCCGGCCUGAGAGGGUGACCGGCCACACUGGGACUGAGACACGGCCCAGACUCCUACGGGAGGCAGCAGUGGGGAAUAUUGCACAAUGGGCGCAAGCCUGAUGCAGCAACGCCGCGUGAGGGACGACGGCCUUCGGGUUGUAAACCUCUUUAGUAGGGAAGAAGCGAAAGUGACGGUACCUGCAGAAAAGCACCGGCUAACUACGCGCCAGCAGCCGC